rnacentral:rRNA from 1 species
AGGUGGGAGCCUACUAGCACUAAUAUGCCGGACUAUAUAAGAAUUCUGCAAUUAAGCGUGCUUAUGUGAGAGCGGUUCUAAGAUGAGUGACCUCCUAGGAAGUUCCCAGGUCGUACACC